rnacentral:lncRNA from 1 species
UGACGGGGCUGACAGUGCGCGAUGCCUUCACAGAGCAGCUGCUUACCACGCACGUCUUCAAGGGAAGGGAAUGGAAACACCCAGAGGUGAACCAUUGCAACUGCGCCAUCACUGUGGCACCGGGGAGACUCUUGUCCUAGGGGCGACCCCUUCAGGCACCAGCUGCAGGCAGGCUCUCCAUGUCCUCAGCACAGCAUGGGAAAGGCUCCCAGCAACACCUCGGAGGCCGUGGCCUCCAGCACCUCAGCCUCUGCACCCCACCCAGCCAGGUUCUCAGGAGGUUUCCUCACAGCUUACCUCAACUUCUGUGAUUUGCUGCCAGGCCCAGACUGGAGUAGAAGCUCAAGGUGAACUGUGGAAAGAAAUCUGAGAGUGAACUGCCUAUAAAAUAUUUAACUUUUUGUUGUUUCAAUCUGCUCAUAAAUCUCAUCUUUCUGAACUAUUUCUAGGAGUCUUUCAUUCAUCUGUGAACCCAGGCCAGUGAGGAGAGACAUCCCAUGAAGGGGUCUCUGGCUCCCCUAAUAUAAUUCGAGUAGCGUCCUUUGCUUUGGGGACUGACGUUCAAGCUGACUCCCAUAAAGAAGGACAACUCUGACAGACUUUCCAAGUGUGUGACAGUGGCGAUGUUGCCCCAGGGUUUUAGGUCUUCCAUUGGAGGACUGCAUCCCUGUUUUUGCAUUCAGUGAGGGACUCUGUUUAGCCAGAGCCCCCACUCUCACCUGAGUGAAACAUCUGUACUGUGGGAUAGAGCUCAGCAGGCUCCUUGUGACAAAAGGGAAGAGUUCUGAUAGGCUUUAGACACACACUACUAAAGGAGAACUAGCGGACGUUUCCCACGCAGAGUCUGCACCAGGUCCAGAGCUUUCUAAGAAUCACGCAGUGAUCCUGCCCAAUUCCAUCUCCUGGAACACGUGCCCUCCAGGAUAACCAGAGCCAGAGCAGAGGUUAGCUGAGAAGCUCACAUGUACUCAUUCUUCAUGAUUCCAUUUGGAAUCAGUUGGUCUCUUCUGAUGAAAGCUGACUGAAUCAAUCCACUUUGCAGUACAUGAUGAUUAUAUUCACGGUAGGGAAUUGGGACGCAUACAUAACACAUUUCAGUUGCAGGCAGAGCGGAUGGACAGUCAGUGACUGGCAAAGUCUUUAUCUUGUAGGUAAAUAUUUCGUUCCCUUCUCUCUAAAAAGAGCACAUGCAACCUGUGUUAAUUUUCUGAUAACA